UAUUCCUAGGGGUGCCAUGCGGCUGAGAGGCAGUUUUCCUGUCGACCCUUAGAACCUGAUCCGGUUGAUACCGGCGUAGGGAAGGGAU
rnacentral:ncRNA from 1 species